rnacentral:rRNA from 1 species
UACGGGGGGGGGCAAGCGUUGUUCGGAAUUACUGGGCGUAAAGGGCGCGUAGGCGGCUUUUCAAGUCGGGCGUGAAAUCCCCAGGCUUAACCUGGGAACUGCAUUCGAGACUGCAUUGCUAGAGUAUGGGAGAGGGAAGUGGAAUUUCCGGUGUAGCGGUGAAAUGCGUAGAUAUCGGAAGGAACAUCAGUGGCGAAAGCGACUUCCUGGACCAAUACUGACGCUCAUGUGCGAAAGCGUGGGGAGCAAACAGG